rnacentral:rRNA from 1 species
GAUGAACGCUGGCGGCGUGCCUAAUACAUGCAAGUCGAGCGAACAGAUGAGGAGCUUGCUCCUCUGACGUUAGCGGCGGACGGGUGAGUAACACGUGGAUAACCUACCUAUAAGACUGGGAUAACUUCGGGAAACCGGAGCUAAUACCGGAUAAUAUAUUGAACCGCAUGGUUCAAUAGUGAAAGACGGUUUUGCUGUCACUUAUAGAUGGAUCCGCGCCGCAUUAGCUAGUUGGUAAGGUAACGGCUUACCAAGGCAACGAUGCGUAGCCGACCUGAGAGGGUGAGCGGCCACACUGGAACUGAGACACGGUCCAGACUCCUACGGGAGGCAGCAGUAGGGAAUCUUCCGCAAUGGGCGAAAGCCUGACGGAGCAACGCCGCGUGAGUGAUGAAGGUCUUCGGAUCGUAAAACUCUGUUAUUAGGGAAGAACAAAUGUGUAAGUAACUAUGCACGUCUUGACGGUACCUAAUCAGAAAGCCACGGCUAACUACGU